ACACCAACCCCACCUCCUAAUUAAACCCUACCUGCCUCCGGGAAGCAUCUCCUAAACCACCCACCCUCUGCUCUUCCCAACCGCCCCGAACCCUAGCCUCCCUUCCGCGCCGCCGCAACCCCGCGCCGCCGGUCCGGAUCUCUUGGGCUCGCGUGCGGCGGGGAUCCGUCCAGGCUUGGAUUGAUUUCUCCUCUGCGCGGAGGCUCCAGCCUUCGAUCUACUGCCUCAAAAAGAGUAGGGAGAUAAGACAAUGUUGCAGUGCAAACGGAUACAACCAUGGAUAUCACUCAGGUUCUACUAGCUGCUCAAUCUCUAGAUGCUAACCUUCGAACAGUAGCAGAAAGCAACCUCACAUAGUUCCAGGAGGAGAAGCUUUAAGCUACGCUCAACUGUCUAUGUGACUCACAUUUGAUGUACUACUUUCUCAACUUGGGUAGUAGCAACAAUAAGGUCAUAAGGUCUGAAGCUUUCUCUACAAGUACCUGCACAUGAUUUUGUUGUGAUCUUAGUGGCAAAUUGCUGUGAUCUUCACUAAAUAGAAAUGACAGUGAUGUUGCUGGUGGUUGCCUGUGGCCCUAGUUUAGUAGUGUUGUUGUGAAUUUGGUUGAGUUGUGAGUCAAGUACUGAUGUCCCUAGUUAUCAUGCUACUGAUGUCAAGUUAGUUGUGAGUCAAGUACUGAUGUAAGUGAGUUAUGCAAUAACUUAUGUUGCCACUUUGUGGAAUCUUUUAGUCAUUUCAAUGUUAUUAAAAAAAUGCAUGUUUCAUUCCUA